AAGUUUUGGCUCUUCAUUAAGUUUCUGACCUGCCCUCAUUUAUUUACCUUCCUCUAGCCUCAGUUUCCCUGCCUAUGAAUAGGGAUGAUAAAGGCAGUCAGAACUGUUGUGAAAAUUAAAUAGAUAAAAACAUUUAGCAUAGUCUCAGGCACAUAGAAACACUCAGCAGAUAGGCUGUGAUAUUUCUCAGUAUCCCAUUGUUAUAUCCUGUUGUGAAAAAUGUUGCUGCCUAGUUCUUUAAGCCACUGGUCUUUGGAGUGGUUCUCAGGUGGUUUUUAUCAUGGAGAAAUGAGUAAGAGUUUUCAGAAACUACACUGUCUAAAAAAUACUACUUUUUGAAGUUAUACCCAGCAAGAGUCUCUUCAUUGCAGUCCACCAGGAAAAGGAAAAACAAUUUUAUGAUACUUUACCUAAAUUUUGAGAUUAUCCUUUUUGUUUCUGGAGAAUAUUGCAGGUUACAAAGUGCUUCUUUCUCUCCUUUGUAGGCAGUUUGGAGGAGCAGUGGUACUUAGAAAUCAUUGAUAAAGGCAGUGUCUCCUGCCCUACCUGCCAGGCAGUGGGGAGGAAGACCAUAGAGGGUUUAAAGAAACACAUGGAAAACUGCAAGCAGGAAAUGUUUACUUGUCAUCAUUGUGAGAAACAACUUUGUUCACUGGCAGGGAUGAAGUAUUACAUCAUGGCAAAUCAUAAUAAUUUGAGUUGCUCCAGUAGCUUCACCAGCAUCAUGGGAUAUCUCUACCAUGUCAGAAAAUGUGGCAAAGGGGCUGCAGAGCUGGAAAAGAUGACCCUGAAAUGUCACCACUGUGGAAAACCAUAUAGGUCGAAGGCUGGACUUGCGUAUCACCUGAGGUCAGAGCAUGGGCCUGUGAGUACUGAUCCCUUUCUAUACCCUGGUUGGGGAUGUAUUUUGUGGUGAGUCCUUACCCCCCUCUAACUUCCCAUAUGUGUUUUGUUCCUCAUUUGAAUCCUCUUUUAAUCUCUGAAUGCUUGUGCUCUCUCUUCUUUGUUCUUUUUUGUCCUUUUCUUAUUUCUGCCUUUUGAACAUUAUUAAGUUAGGUAAAUCAAAAUUCAAAGUAUAGUCCAGGCAGAAGUAAACUCAUUA